UUAUGAGAUACCGAACGAGUAAAGGAAUCAAAACACCUUUUCUUGUUUCUCCUUUAAUAAGAAAUAUAGGAAGCACACGCAUCGAGGCAAAAGUGGUAGUCAAGUCCGAUGUUUAGCGAAACAUUUACAGCUGGAAACUUUUGUUUAAUAUUACCGGUCCCCCAAAAUUGUGCCAAAGUCGGUCUGAUUACUACAAAAGGUAAAGCAAAAUAUAAAGCGGAGUCCAACGCAAUUGUGUGGAGAAUUAAAAAAUUUUCGGGAAAUAAAGAAAUGCAGAUGAAUGCAGAAAUAGAGAUGGUUGCUACCACUUUUCACCAAAAAAGCAUACAGACCAGUAGAGCGCCGAUAUCGCUUCAUUUUCAAAUCCCAAUGUACGCGGCAUCUGGCUUGACUGUGCGCUACCUCAAAGUGCUUGAACCCAAACAAAAUUACUCCGCAGUUAAGUGGGUACGAUAUAUAACGAACG